rnacentral:rRNA from 1 species
UGGGGAAUAUUGCACAAUGGGGGAAGCCCUGAUGCAGCAACGCCGCGUGGGUGAAGAAGUAUUUCGGUAUGUAAAGCCCUAUCAGCAGGGAAGAAAAUGACGGUACCUGACUAAGAAGCUCCGGCUAAAUACGUGCCAGCAGCCGCGGUAAUACGUAUGGAGCAAGCGUUAUCCGGAUUUACUGGGUGUAAAGGGAGCGCAGGCGGCGCGGCAAGUCAGAUGUGAAAGCCCGGGGCUCAACCCCGGGACUGCAUUUGAAACUGCCGUGCUGGAGUGUCGGAGAGGCAAGUGGAAUUCCUAGUGUAGCGGUGAAAUGCGUAGAUAUUAGGAGGAACACCAGUGGCGAAGGCGGCUUGCUGGACGAUAACUGACGCUGAGGCUCGAAAGCGUGGGGAGCAAACAGGAUUAGAUACC